UUUUCGGAGAGUUUGAUCCUGGCUCAGAAUGAACGCUGGCGGCGUGGUUCAGACAUGCAAGUCGAACGGGAUUGUUUAGUUAGCUUGCUAAUUAAACAUGAGAGUGGCGAACGGGUGCGUAACACGUAAAGAACCUACCCUUAUGUGGGGGAUAGCUCGGGGAAACUCGAAUUAAUACCGCAUGUGGACCUCUUUCGCAUGAAAGAGAAUCCAAAGCCGGGGACCUUCGGGCCUGGCGCAUAGGGAGGGCUUUGCGGCCUAUCAGCUUGUUGGUGAGGUAACGGCUCACCAAGGCUCCGGUCUUUAGCUGGUUUGAGAGGACGAUCAGCCACACUG
rnacentral:rRNA from 1 species